CGCUCCACCACGUGCGCUGGCGCCACCACCUUCCUCGUGCGUCCGUACGUGCGGGAGGCCGUCCGACUUGCGCCAGUGCCUCAGGGAAGGGUCAUCGCCGCCAAACCAGACCGAGGAGGAGUGGCUCCAUGGGAACGCCGCUCAGUCUGCCCCCGCGUCGGCGAAAUCCGCCGCUGCGACACAAACCAGACCGAGGAGGAGGUCUUCAACGCAAGGCCACGGGUACCCAUCCCCGUCCCUCCUCCUCCUCCACAUCGCCGUCAGCAUCCGAGGCACCCGAAAAUAUGCAUCUUCCCCGAGCUGAAGCCGCUGGCCACCGCUCAGGCUUGCUGCUGCUGCUGGUUAGAAACGGCCACCAGCUCCGGGGCCAUUUUCACGUCGCCGCCGGCGACCUCGUCUGCAUCCAGCUGCCCUCUUGCUGUGGAGAUGAGGACCCGUUUCCAUCACUUUUGUUUCCUCCCUAAUUUUGUGCGCUCUAGAUCGGCCAAGAACUGGGAUUACUCCCACUAAAUAAUUAUCUCCAUUAGAGACCAGUAACAAUAUUAUUAGUAGUUCUGAAACAAAAUCUGCAAGAAAACUAUGGUCAUGUACAAAAAUAAUUUUCGGGUUGCUCUGUGUCACUGUAAGGUGAUACAUACACUGAAUCCUACUUUUGUGAAAUCAUAGCUCCAGGGAUUCAAAUAAUUGCAAGCUCGCAGUGGUGAAUCAAUACUCACGAACAAAGCCACGGUGAUCAGAUGUAUCGCAAGUUGCUGACAAUUUUUGCUCCGUGGAGGGAGCUUUUCUCCUGCCAAUCAUGCAUCAAAGUUAUAGCACAACUCAUUGACACAUCCCCGGAUUGCAAAAGUAGUUUGCUCCUGUUCUGGUGAUGGAGAAAGUGAGGAGGAUACUGAAGUGGUGGACGUCAGUAGAUGUUUUUCUUCCUUUAUCUUACCUGUACUGUAUCAUGCAAGAAUCAGUUUAAUCUAAUGCAAGAGAAAGUGAGGAGUAUUAUGUUCUCUACUUAAAGAAGAAUGUUUGGUUGACCAAAUUUUAAGUUACCGUUUCCCCUUUUGGAUAUGCUCGGAUGGGGCAACCAAUCCAAUUUUUUAUUUUCGAAAUGGGGAUCAGCCCCUGCCUCUGCAUCGGUUAGAUGCAUGCAGCCAUUAUUUCUAACCAAUCCAAUUUUAAACUGAUGAUGAACUAACCUUUCCUGUACUUCUGGGAUAUGUUGUGAUAAGAAUUGCAGUAGUGUUGUCCUGACUUCUUGACUUCAAUAUUUUAUUGAAUAGCAAUCUUUGUAGCCAUGCUAAUUAUUGAAGACAACGAACUGUGUAAAAGCAAUUGGUGUAGGCCUUGUAAAAGCAAUCUAUGCAGAUAACAAUGUUGUUGUCUAUUUUGUAAAACAGGUUUGGCUAUCUGACCUUGAAUAAAUUAUUUUGAAAUUUAUUGUUUUGGCAUUAGCUUACUACCACAUCAUUUGUCUUGUAGAGAUUGAAGAUGUUAAGGUCUGAAAUGCAUUUUACUGUGUUUGUAAUGUGAAUCCAGCUAUUUGUGAUAUAUUCUUGGCAGUUAUUUAGCUAGCCAGUCUUAUUCUCAACAGUAUAUUUAUUUAUCCUGCAACAUAAAUGAUAUGCUUAGGUACAUGGGAAACAACUUUUACUGGAGAAACAUGCAAACAAUAAUAAAUACACUAUAUUGCCAUAUAUUUUUUAUUUUUGGCUGAAUAUUAUGUUCCCGGAGAUUUAGUGCUACUUUCUCCAGGAUUGGAAAAGUAUCCAAGCACAUAUCUAAUUCAUAGUCAACUGUAUAACCAACAGGAAUCAUAAACACACAGAGUCAGUACAGCCUAUACAGCCUAUUCACACCCUAUUCACACCCUACAGUGAAAAAGCUUCAAAGGCAUCAAAUCCAACAAAUGUUGGUCACUGUAAUCCUAGACAAAUGUUGACAAAUGUUGGAACACAAAUGCUGAUCAAAAUUCCUGUAGCUUGUUCACUUCACAAUUUAUUUUCAGAAAAAUUGCAACAUUUCUGCAAUAAUGAUCAAGUUUCUGAAAUAUAGGGAAGUUUGAAUCCAUGUACCUUCUUAUUCUCCAGAGAGAAGAAGAAGCACGCGCGAGCAUGGCCGACACUUAGGUGGCAUGGCGGCCGGGUUUUUGUCACCGGAGGAGCUACGGUAACGAGUUGGAGUUGCCGGCGAGACCGCGAUAGUCAAGCCAGCGAGAUGGUGAGACCGUGAGAGUCAAGACGGCAAGCCGUGGAUCAGGUCUUGCCCUCCCUGCUGCCUCUGGCCGCGGUGGCGAGGCAUGACAUAGGUUCCUCUGGCGACGGUUCCCUGCUAACCAGGCAGGUGAAUGAGGUAUUAGAAAAACAUGGAACUGAGCUGAUUUAUUUUGUGUAGGUACAUAACUUUCGGCCUACUUGAACUUCAACUUUUCUAUUGGAGGAAGUACAUCACUUCUUCCAGAGAACUCUUCGAUUUCCGAGAAGAAUAUUUUGGAACACAUGUCAAAGAAGAAUAUAUACACAGUUUCAUGAGAUGAUGUUCAAUGAAAAAACACUUGUGGAGUAGCUGCAGCACUUAGAACCAUGCUAUUAUGGUGCUUCACCUUCGUCUUUCCUUUAUGAGUUUGUAUCCAUUUUUGCGCUGGACAUUGUCUACUGAUUGUAUGGGAGCAUGGCUGAUUGCGCUGGUUUACGAAUGGGCAUGGAUGAGAAGAUGCUUUUAGUCAAUAGAGAACUUGUUUUACCCCAGACCAAGCUCAAGUAUGGGGAUAUAGUUGAAGUGAGAUUUUCUCCACAUAUUACCUGAGAUAAUUUACAAGUUGGCUACAACUCCUGAGUUUGGACAUAAUGAGACCGUGUUACUAACUUAUGCUGUAAAUAUGAGUUUUGAUGCAAUAAAUUCAAGUUUGAAUCAAA